AACGCGAAGAACCUUACCCAGGCUUGACAUGCAGCAGACAGCGCUAGAAAUAGCGUCUUCCUUCGGGACUGCUGCACAGGUGCUGCAUGGCUGUCGUCAGCUCGUGCCGUGAGGUGUUGGGUUAAGUCCCGCAACGAGCGCAACCCUUAUCGUUAGUUGCCAACAUGUGAUGGUGGGAACUCUAACGAGACUGCCUGGGUUAACCAGGAGGAAGGUGAGGAUGACGUCAAGUCCGCAUGGCCCUUAUGUCUGGGGCUACACACGUGCUACAAUGGUCGGUACAGAAGGCAGCGAAGCCGCGAGGUGAAGCAAAUCCAAAAAGCCGAUCCCAGUUCAGAUUGUAGUCUGCAACUCGACUACAUGAAGAUGGAAUUGCUAGUAAUGGCGAGUCAGCAACAUCGCCGUGAAUACGUUCCCGGGCCUUGUACACACCGGCUAC
rnacentral:rRNA from 1 species